rnacentral:lncRNA from 1 species
GAAAACUGACUAUACAUACCUUUGACUUUAUACUUUCAAGCAUUUGAACUAUAGGUUCAAAACUACAUGACUUUCAUAUGGAAUCAAUUCUACUUGAAUUGUAUCUCUUCCAUUUGGCCAAUAUUUUUGUUUGUAUUCGACAAACUUAAGAUCCUCAUCUAUAUUUAGCGCUAUCAUAGAUGUCGUCGACGAACAUUUUAUAUCGG